UCUCCGUUGGUGAACCAGCGGAGGGAUCAUUAUAGAGUUUUCAAAACUCCCAACCCAUGUGAACUUACCUAUGUUGCCUCGGUGGGAGCCUACCCUGUACCUACCCUGUAGUUACCCUGUAGUCCGCCGACGGAAUACAAAACUCUUGUUUUCAGUUGUUAUUCUGAGAAUAAAACAAAUAAAUCAAAACUUUCAACAACGGAUCUCUUGGUUCUGGCAUCGAUGAGAACGCAGC
rnacentral:misc_RNA from 1 species